UACGUAUGGAGCGAGCGUUGUCCGGAAUUAUUGGGCGUAAAGGGUACGCAGGCGGUUUAAUAAGUCGAAUGUUAAAGAUCGGGGCUCAACCCCGUAAAGCAUUGGAAACUGAUAAACUUGAGUAGUGGAGAGGAAAGUGGAAUUCCUAGUGUAGUGGUGAAAUACGUAGAUAUUAGGAGGAAUACCAGUAGCGAAGGCGACUUUCUGGACACAAACUGACGCUGAGGUACGAAAGCGUGGGGAGC
rnacentral:rRNA from 1 species